ACGGGUGAGUAGAAAGUAGGGAUCUGCCUUGUAGAUUGGGAUAACUUGGGGAAACUCGAGCUAAUACCGGAUAAGCACUAAGGUGGAAAGCAUGGGACCGAAAGGCCAUGCGCUAUAAGAUGAACCUACGUCGGAUUAGCUAGUUGGUUAGGUAAAGGCUGACCAAGGCGAAGAUCCGUAGCUGGUCUGAGAGGAUGAUCAGCCACACUGGGACUGAGACACGGCCCAGACUCCUACGGGAGGCAGCAGUGGGGAAUAUUGGACAAUGGGGGCAACCCUGAUCCAGCGAUGCCGCGUGUGCGAAGAAGGCCUGCGGGUUGUAAAGCACUUUAGUUGGGGAAGAAAGUUCAGUAGUCGAAUAGGCUAUUGAUUUGACGUUACCCAAAGAAUAAGCACCGGCUAACUCUGUGCCAGCAGCCGCGGUAAUACAGAGGGUGCGAGCGUUAAUCGGAAUUACUGGGCGUAAAGGGCGCAUAGGCGGUUAUAUAAGUUAGGUGUGAAAUCCCCGGGCUUAACCUGGGAAUGGCAUUUAAUACUGUAUGACUAGAGUAGAGUAGAGGGAAGUGGAAUUUCCGG
rnacentral:rRNA from 1 species